UGGGGAAUAUUGCACAAUGGGGGAAACCCUGAUGCAGCGACGCCGCGUGAGCGAAGAAGGCUUUCGAGUCGUAAAGCUCUGUCCUAUGAGAAGAUAAUGACGGUAUCAUAGGAGGAAGCCCUGGCUAAAUACGUGCCAGCAGCCGCGGUAAUACGUAUGGGGCGAGCGUUGUCCGGAAUUAUUGGGCGUAAAGGGUACGUAGGUGGUUUUUUAAGUCAGGUGUCAAAGCGUGGAGCUUAACUCCAUUAAGCACUUGAAACUGAAAGACUUGAGUGAAGGAGAGGAAAGUGGAAUUCCUAGUGUAGCGGUGAAAUGCGUAGAUAUUAGGAGGAAUACCGGUGGCGAAGGCGACUUUCUGGACUUUUACUGACGCUAAGGUACGAAAGCGUGGGGAGCAAACAGG
rnacentral:rRNA from 1 species